rnacentral:lncRNA from 1 species
GUAAAUAGAAAUGUUUUAGCAGAAAACUGAAUAAGUUGCAGUUGGCAAAGUGAAGAAAGUUGAGGUAUAGAUUCUCAGAAGCACAUCAAACCCAGUCAUGAAGAUCAGACUUGGGGGUGAUUCAAAAUGACUUUUAGAGUGAACUGAAAAGGAAUCUUUUGGCUUGAUAGUGCCUGGAACUCUUCUCCCUCUUGACUAAGCUUCAGGGAUGCUGAGGAAUUCUGCUACAGCCAGCUCCCUCUAGGCCAGACUCCUGAAACAGAGAAUAUGUCAUCAAUGUGACAUGGCCACACCUUGACCUGUGGAAGAGCCACACUGCUAUACAGUGGAAGGGAAGCUGGCUUUUGCAUCUAAGCUCUAUGGUUCACCAGCAGCUUCUCUUUGAGGGUGAUUCUUUCCUGGCCUGAAAUUCCUGCUAUUUUUCUACUAAGGAUACAGCUGCCUUCCCUGAGCUUCAAGAGGCUGCAAAUAUUAAGUAUUAUUUGGUAUCAGACUGUACUAAUAUGGCUCAUAAACAAGUUAUCCUGUACUUGUUCAUAAACUGAACAAGUACAGGAUAACAGAAUAAGUACCAUCAAAGAGAGCAAUGACUAUCUCAGGAGACUAAAGGAAGACAGCAUCCUGAGCACGAUGAUUUUUCUAAAUGAAAAAUCUUAUUGUUACCUUUUAAAUGAUCAAUCCAAAUAUAAGAAACUAAAAUGGCACCAAAGGGUCUGCAGAGGAAAGUAGGCCACUCUUCUGCUCCUCUGCUUUGAAACUGGUUCAACUCACUGAAACCAACUGUUGUCAAAUCAUUGUUUGUUUGAAAUUUGCAUGAUGGUGGUAUUUACACCACAGAAUUUAUCAAGCUCAUCGUAUAGGGCUUUUGAUCCCAAAAGAGUUAGUCCAU